UAGGGAAUCUUCCACAAUGGGCGCAAGCCUGAUGGAGCAACACCGCGUGAGUGAAGAAGGGUUUCGGCUCGUAAAGCUCUGUUGUUAAAGAAGAACACGUAAUGAGAGUAACUGUUCAGGUAUUGACGGUAUUUAACCAGAAAGUCACGGCUAACUACGUGCCAG
rnacentral:rRNA from 1 species